GAAAUGCGAUAAGUGGUGUGAAUGGCAGAAUUCAGUGAAUCAUCGAAGCUUUGAACGCACAUUGCGCCCGCGAGUAUUCUGGCGGGCGUGCCGGUUCGAGCGUCGUUUCAACCAUCAAGCCCCCGGGCUUGUGUUGGGGACCCUGCGGCUGCCCGCAGGCCCUGAAAUGCAGUGGCGGGCUCGCUGUCCACACCGAGCGUAGUAGCAUUACACCUCGCUCAGGGCGUGCGGCGUGCUCCGGCCGUUCAACGCGACCUUAACGCAUACCAAGGUUGACCUCGGAUCAGGUAGGAAGACCCGCUCAACUUAA
rnacentral:misc_RNA from 1 species